rnacentral:rRNA from 1 species
UACGAAGGGGGCUAGCGUUGUUCGGAAUUACUGGGCGUAAAGCGCACGUAGGCGGAUUUGUAAGUCAGGGGUGAAAUCCCGGGGCUCAACCUCGGAACUGCCUUUGAUACUGCAAGUCUCGAGUCCGAUAGAGGUGAGUGGAAUUCCUAGUGUAGAGGUGAAAUUCGUAGAUAUUAGGAAGAACACCAGUGGCGAAGGCGGCUCACUGGAUCGGUACUGACGCUGAGGUGCGAAAGCGUGGGAGCAAACAGG